rnacentral:rRNA from 1 species
AUGACCUUGGUGCAGAAAAAGUAUGCUUUGGAUCUUCUUCAUCGCGUCAACAUGGAGAACUGCAAGGCCACUUCCACUCCGCUUGCUACAUCCGAGAGUCUCUCACGUCAUAGUGGUGCACUACUGGGUAGAGAUGACUCCUUACAGUAUCGCAGUGUGGUUGGGGCACUUCAGUAUUUGACCCUCACUCGUCCUCAUAUAUCCUUCGCAGUGAACAAUGUGUGUCAGUUCCUGUCUCAGCCAACGGAGGAUCAUUGGGAAGCAGUCAAGCGUAUUCUGAGAUAUGUCAAAGAUACGCUAGGCAUGGACUACGGAUUUGUAAGUCCAGAUUUACUGGAGUGA